rnacentral:rRNA from 1 species
UACGUAGGGUGCAAGCGUUGUCCGGAAUUAUUGGGCGUAAAGAGCUUGUAGGCGGUUUGUUGCGUCUGCUGUGAAAUUUCGGGGCUCAACCCCGAACUUGCAGUGGGUACGGGCAGACUAGAGUGUGGUAGGGGAGACUGGAAUUCCUGGUGUAGCGGUGAAAUGCGCAGAUAUCGGGAGGAACACCAGUAGCGAAGGCGGCACUCUGGGCCGGUACUGACGCUGAGGAGCGAAAGCGUGGGGAGCGAACAGG